GAACGCCACACGGUGCUUAAGGCUAUAAGUAGCCCUAAGCUAACCUUUUGAGCCUGUUACUACAUAUAAUAACUUAUUUUGAGAAGAAAUAAACAAAACAAUGGCAUCGUUGUAUCAAAUGAUAGAAAAUACGAAAAAAUACUUGGUCCAAAUGACCACAAUACUGGAAAUUUCAGCAUACUAAAAAUCUGAUAACUAGUCUGACAAAGCCUCU
rnacentral:lncRNA from 1 species